rnacentral:miRNA from 1 species
ACUUCAUCAACUGGAAGGGAUUCCUUCCCGUCAAUGAGGUGCAAAUACCUCAUCAAUUGGAAGGAAUCUCUUCUGAUUGAUGAGGUAUCUGCACUUCAUUGACUGAAAGGAAUUAGUCCAGUCAAUGAGGU